UACGUAGGGGGCAAGCGUUGUCCGGAUUUAUUGGGCGUAAAGAGCGUGUAGGCGGCCAGACAGGUCAGCUGUGAAAACUCGAGGCUCAACCUCGAGACGUCGGUUGAAACCGUCUGGCUAGAGUCCGGAAGAGGAGAGUGGAAUUCCCGGUGUAGCGGUGAAAUGCGCAGAUAUCGGGAGGAACACCAGUGGCGAAGGCGGCGCUCUGGGCCGGAACUGACGCUGAGGAGCGAAGGUCAGGGGAGCAAACGGG
rnacentral:rRNA from 1 species